GAUGAACGCUAGCGGCAGGCCUAAUACAUGCAAGUCGAGGGGUAGAAGAGGCUUGCUUCUUUGAGACCGGCGCACGGGUGCGUAACGCGUAUGCAACCUACCUUCAUCUGGGGGAUAGCCCGGAGAAAUCCGGAUUAAUACCGCAUAAAAUCACAGGAUGGCAUCAUCCAAUGAUCAAACAUUUAUGGGAUGGAGAUGGGCAUGCGUGUCAUUAGCUAGUUGGCGGGGAAACGGCCCACCAAGGCGACGAUGACUAGGGGAUCUGGGAGGAUGGCCCCCCACACUGGUACUGAGACACGGACCAGACUCCUACGGGAGGCAGCAGUAAGGAAUAUUGGUCAAUGGAGGCAACUCUGAACCAGCCAUGCCGCGUGCAGGAAGACUGCCCUAUGGGUUGUAAACUGCUUUUAUUCGGGAAUAAACCUUAUUACGUGUAAUAAGCUGAAUGUACCGAAGGAAUAAGGAUCGGCUAACUCCGUGCCAGCCGCCGAGUAA
rnacentral:rRNA from 1 species